rnacentral:rRNA from 1 species
AUUGAACGCUGGCGGCAUGCUUUACACAUGCAAGUCGAACGGUAACAGGCCGCAAGGUGCUGACGAGUGGCGAACGGGUGAGUAAUGCAUCGGAACGUGCCCAGUCGUGGGGGAUAACGCAGCGAAAGCUGUGCUAAUACCGCAUACGAUCUAUGGAUGAAAGCGGGGGACCGUAAGGCCUCGCGCGAUUGGAGCGGCCGAUGUCAGAUUAGGUAGUUGGUGGGGUAAAGGCCCACCAAGCCAACGAUCUGUAGCUGGUCUGAGAGGACGACCAGCCACACUGGGACUGAGACACGGCCCAGACUCCUACGGGAGGCAGCAGUGGGGAAUUUUGGACAAUGGGCGCAAGCCUGAUCCAGCAAUGCCGCGUGCAGGAAGAAGGCCUUCGGGUUGUAAACUGCUUUUGUACGGAACGAAAAGGUCCGGGUUAAUACCCUGGGCUCAUGACGGUACCGUAAGAAUAAGCACCGGCUAACUACGUGCCAGCAGCCGCAGUAA